UUUUCUUUCCAGAUCUAGGAUUUUAAUCCAAGUUUGUGAGUCUCCAAAACCCAAACUCUUUUCAGGCUGGUAUUGAAUGAGCUGCAGCCAUUUCUCCUGCUUGACCAUGUUACUCCACUCUGCUGGGAACCUUUGGAAUCAUCUUAUCAAAUCAAAGUCAGUGCUGUCCUGCUUGGAUGUUUCUUCUGGCUGCUAACCCACUGCCUCCCUCUUCACCUACACCCUCCUUGGGCAGCUUGGUUCUGAUCAAGAGUGCUCACUAGGCCUGGUGCAGUGGCUCACACCCAUAAUCCUAACACUUUGGGAGACGGAGGUGGGAGCAUCACUUGAGCUGAGGAGUUCAAGACCAGCCUGGGCAACAUACACAGACCACCUCCCUACUGCAAACUCUACAAAAGAAAGAAAGAAAUUAGCCAAGCAUGCUGGCAUGUACCUGUGGUCCAAGCUACUUAGGAGGCUGAGGUGGAAGGAUCGCUUAAAUCUGGGAGGUCAAAGCAGCAGGGAGCCAUGACAGUGUCACUGCACUCCAGCCUGGCUGACAGAGUGUGACUGUCUCAAAAAAAAAAAAAAAAAAGAUUGUUCAGUGCCUCCCACCCAGUUCUACAGCCUCAAAUCCACAUGCUUUGCUUUGAACUUCCAGCAACCCCUGGACAUUCACCAAAACCCACUUCCAGACCUGGGACUCCUUUCUCUUCCACUGCUGGUGUGAAUCUCUCCUUUCCUCUCCUCCCUCCCUCUGGAUUGCAGUUUGCAAUCCAGAUUAAUUCUGCCCAUUGUCUCAUUUGUAUCUCUGAGCACUUGGAUUUCAAUGUAACUAAUGUUUCUUUGCAAAUAUCUCCAUAAACUGUAUAUAUAUUCAUCUUUCUUUUUAUGUAAAUUCUUUGGAGAAUGAACUAGGCCUACCUAUUCCCAAAUGGGCCCCUCACCCUCAUUGCUUAUAUUAUUCCAUAAAUAAAUUAUUUUGUAAGCGAAUCAGGAGGGAGAGGAUUAUUUUUUCUUUUUCAUAAUUUUUUUAAAAAUAGAGAGAAGGUCUCACUAUGUUGCCCAGGCUGGUCUUGAACUCCUGGCCUCAAGCAUUCCUUCAGCCUCAGCCUCCCAAAAUGCUGGGAUUACAAGUGUGAGCCACCUCACCUGGCCAGGGGGGAUUCAGGAUAACAUAACAGCUGCUUUCUAGCCAAGCUGAGUUGAAUGGGGCCAGUAAUGGGGAAGAGGAGAAUUGAAGGAUAUGGGGAUAAUGUCCAGAUGCCGUGAGCCCCUGAGAAAGAUGCAGUGUCUUUGAAGAAAAGGCCUUAAUACAGAACCUAGAUGAGUCUGGA
rnacentral:lncRNA from 1 species